CGUUUGGGUUUUUCGGAAAAAUCCUGAAAGGCGUAAAAAGGCUCGCGGCUUAUGUGUUCUCUUGACAUACUCUCUAAAGCUCUAAACCUAUACAGCAGUAGUUUAAGUUGUCACUUUACGUUUCACGUUUUAUUUUCUUUGUGCGUCGUGGUAUACCUAUUUAGCAGCGUUUUAAACGCAGAAAGCUGAAGCGAAGUGUAUUUCUAGCGAGCACUCAGAUUUCCCAGCUUUUCCGGAGGACUCAAACGCGUGCAGAAGAGAGAAAGCUGCUGUUAGCUCGCUGGUUAGCACUGCGGAAACAUGCAGCUGGCUCUGAGUAAGACGUUUGGCCAGAAGCCAGUCAAGUUCCAGCUGGAGCAGGAUGGAGACUUCUACAUGGUGGGCUCGGAGGUUGGAAACUAUCUGCGUAUGUUCAGAGGCUCUCUGUAUAAAAGAUAUCCAUCUUUAUGGAGGAGGCUGGCCUCGGUGGAGGAGAGGAAGAAAAUAGUAGCAUCAUCACACGCUACGAGCGUGACUCUGCUGAAGGCUUCAGAAUGUGAAGAGAUCUUUGAGGGCAAUGAUGAGAAAUACAAGGCGGUGUCCAUCAGCACAGAGCCCCCGGCUUACCUCAGGGAGCAGAAAGCAAAGAGGAGCAGUCAGUGGGUCCCCACUCUGCCCAACAGCUCUCACCAUCUCGACGCUGUGCCUUGCUCCACCACCAUCAACCGCAACCGUAUGGGCCGUGACAAGAAGAGGACCUUCCCCCUGUGCUUUGACGACCACGACCCUGCAGUGAUCCACGAGAACGCAGCCCAGGUGGAGGCGCUCGUUCCUAUUCGUCUGGACAUGGAGAUAGAUGGACAGAAGCUGCGAGAUGCCUUCACUUGGAACAUGAAUGAGAAACUGAUGACCCCAGAGAUGUUUGCAGAGAUUCUAUGCGAUGACCUGGAUCUGAAUCCUCUGGCCUUUGUCCCUGCCAUUGCCUCAGCUAUUCGUCAGCAGAUUGAGUCCUACCCAACUGACAGCAUACUAGAGGAGCAGGCAGACCAGAGAGUCAUCAUCAAGCUGAACAUCCACGUGGGGAACAUCUCUCUGGUGGACCAGUUUGAGUGGGACAUGUCAGAGAGGGAGAACUCGCCAGAGUCUUUUGCCCUGAAGCUGUGCUCUGAGCUCGGUUUGGGAGGAGAGUUUGUCACCACUAUUGCCUACAGCAUUCGCGGUCAGCUCAGCUGGCACCAGAGGACCUACGCCUUCAGUGAGAACCCACUCCCCACUGUAGAGAUCGCCAUCCGCAACACAGGUGAUGCAGACCAGUGGUGCCCCCUGCUUGAGACCCUCACAGAUGCUGAAAUGGAGAAGAAGAUCCGAGACCAAGACAGGAACACAAGGCGUAUGAGAAGACUGGCUAACACCGCUCCGUCCUGGUAGAAUGGACAUGAAGCUGCAUCAGAUGAUGUGUCCUCUGGAGACUCCUGUUACUCUGAAAUGAUCAACACAGCAGUCAUGGCAGCAGUUCAGAUGGAACACAUCGUCACUGUUCGCUCACGUUCAUCCCCGAAGGAGCUUUAUCUGACGUCUGUUACACACAGCACACUGUGCAGCGCAAAUUACUCUUAUCUGUCCAUGAUUGAACAAGCUCAUUUAGAUUUGUAACCCUAAAUUCCACCGUUCACAGCGCUGUUAUUGUCCAUUGUCUACACGGCUUUAUAAUCUACCAGGAGUGUUUCAGAAGUGUUUUGCCUGCCAGACUUUUUUUUUUCUUGAUUUAUGUGCGUCUACCAUGAGUAAGUAAGCUACGUAGUAAAAUAGUUUUUACCACUGGGAUUCUCAGAUUCAGAUUCUCUGUUGUUUCUGUCCCUGACUUCCGAUCAGCGCAAUCUGUUUUGUGCUGCUUGACUGACAUGUUUUUCUGUUCAAGCUUCUCAAAUGAGAGGAUUCGCUGCUCGUCUUUCGUAAUGUAUCACGUAAACAAAAUAUUUCAGACUGUUGAUCUGACAAAACCAGACUUUUAAAGAUGUCACCAUGCUUUCUGGGGAGUUGUCAUGGGCAUUUGUUCACUAUUUUUUUGAUAUUCUGUAGACUACACAAUUCAAACAGGCAUUGAACAUCAAACCUUUGUUUUUGAUUUUUGUUUUGUUUUUCUGAUCCAGUUUUGGAACAAAAAAAUCAAAGAAUGAAUGAUACAUGGAUCAUAAUGCCCCUGUGUGUCAAGUUUGAACAUAGCUGAUAGUGAAAGGACCAAAAAAAGAUGAAGUAGAAGCUCAGUUCUUAUUGGCAUGGUGUAGAUCAAUAAACAAACGUCUCCAAACAAAAAGUAAUUUGAUAGAUGCAGUAAUCAGAUUUUAAAAAACGCUUCAUAUCGGGGCUUUAAUAAAUGUCACACUGAACCACAGUAAAGUGUUCUGGGUGCUGUUGUGUUUUUACCUAAAUGAAUUGACCAGUGUGCGUGUAUAAAAUCAAACUCCAACCAUCUCCUGUCACUGCUGUCCACACAGCUCUUCAGGCAGUGGCAGUGGCUUUGACCUGUCAGGUUUUUGCAGCCAAUCAGAAAGUUUGAUUUUUAGCAUGUAGACUCUGCAUUCUGAUCUUUGUUACCAGGACUGAUCAGUUAUGUGCACCAGUGUUCAUCUGCAUGCUAAGACAUAGUUAGUUGAUCCUGUUCUCUGUGCAUGAGGGACUGAUUGUUCCCACUGUUACUUCUGUCUGCACUGUGCCUCACAUUGCAUUAGUGUCAGCAGCCUGGAGCCUCUGUUUUACUGGCAGUAGAUGGGGGCGGGAAGCAAGCUGACAAGAACCAAUGGUGUCUUUUAAAGUGAUGAUUUUCAACUUGAACAUACUCCAGAGAAUGAUGUUAACGUAUGUAAUGUUGUUUCUUGUUCUCUUCUUUUGUAAAAUUGCUUUACCUUUAUAGUGGACUUGUUUUUUAUAUGAAAAAUAACAAUAAAGAAAACUUGUUGGAAA